AUUGAACGCUGGCGGCAUGCCUUACACAUGCAAGUCGAACGGCAGCACGGGAGCAAUCCUGGUGGCGAGUGGCGAACGGGUGAGUAAUGUAUCGGAACGUACCUUUCAGUGGGGGAUAACGUAGCGAAAGUUACGCUAAUACCGCAUAUUCUGUGAGCAGGAAAGCAGGGGAUCGCAAGACCUUGCGCUGAUUGAGCGGCCGAUAUCAGAUUAGCUAGUUGGUGAGGUAAAGGCUCACCAAGGCGACGAUCUGUAGCGGGUCUGAGAGGAUGGAUCCGCCACACUGGAACUGAGACACGGUCCAGACUCCUACGGGAGGCAGCAGUGGGGAAUUUUGGACAAUGGGCGCAAGCCUGAUCCAGCCAUGACCGCGUGAGUGAAGAAGG
rnacentral:rRNA from 1 species